rnacentral:lncRNA from 1 species
GCCAUCAUCGGUGCUAAUUGCAUCGCUUUCAUUCUUCCCAUCUCAACCCCUAUUUUUAUAACAGAAUCUCUGGCAUUCCCUGUCACUCCGUAAUCCCACAUAUGGUUAGUUACUACUCUGGUCUUUCACCUCCAAUUUUCUUUUGGGGAUGCUUGCCAACUAGGCAUCCUAGGAAACAAGCCAACAUAAUCUCCUAUGAUGCUAAGGGCCAAGAAAAGGCUAAUUGAUCAAUCAUAGAGUACCAUAGAACUUCACUUGCUAUUCCAUUGAUUCUCAUAUCAUGUGCAAUGUAGAUAGGAAAAUUCUUAGAAACUUUAGGAGUCGAGUUUUGGAAACACAAGCUUAUCACGUUUCUCUCAGUCCACCAUCCUAGUGGUUUACACGUCACAAAGGUAGAUUGGGUAUCGGUGAAAAUGACAAGCUUGCUCCUUAGAGUAAGUUGAUGCCAGGCAGCUAGGCUUACUUGUGCAUGGCAUUCAACACACGUUUCACCUGGUAUCGGUCCGUUUCAAGUUGACAGAAUGAAUUUGGGCAUUUAGAUGAUUGAUUUAUUUGGACGAGAAUUUUUUUAUGGAA